GACGAACCGUGCGAACGUUGUUCGGAUUUACUGGGCGUAAAGGGCGCGUAGGCGGCAAUUCAAGUCAGCUGUGAAAUCUCCGGGCUUAACUCGGAACGGUCAGCUGAUACUGCUUUGCUAGAGUGCAGAAGGGGCAAUCGGAAUUCUCGGUGUAGCGGUGAAAUGCGUAGAUAUCGAGAGGAACACCUGAGGUGAAGACGGGUUGCUGGGCUGACACUGACGCUGAGGCGCGAAAGCCAGGGUAGCAAACAGG
rnacentral:rRNA from 1 species